GUUAAGCAGGGACCAGCAGCCGCGGGAAUACGCAGGGUUGAAGCGUUAAUCGGAAUUACUGGGCGUAAAGCGUGCGCAGGCGGUUUUGUAAGACAGGGGUGGAAUCCCCGGGCUUAACCUGGGAACUGCAUUUGUGACUGCAAGGCUGGAGUGCGGCAGAGGGGGAUGGAAUUCCGCGUGUAGCAGUGAAAUGCGUAGAUAUGCGGAGGAACACCGAUGGCGAAGGCAAUCCCCUGGGCCUGCACUGACGCUCAUGCACGAAAGCGUGGGGAGCAAACAGGAUUAGAUACCCUAGUAGUC
rnacentral:rRNA from 1 species